rnacentral:lncRNA from 1 species
GACGAGAGAGGAGAUAGAGAGAGAGAGGGCUCUGUCACUGAGAGAGAGAGAGAGAGAGAGAGAGGGCUUUAUCAUUGAGAGCAGAGAGACAAUAGGGAGUUAAUGAGGGGGAGUAGGGAGGAUCGAAAAAAAAUCUAAAUUGAAAUUUUUUGGAUGGUAAUUACCGUCACGAAGAUUUUUCUUUUUAUUUAAACCUAAGAAGAUGGCAAAAUCAUGCAGUUGUCCAAACUGUCAAAGUUCGUUUCACAAUAUUUUUAUAUUGUAAUCCAAAAAUAUUUCAAUUUUAGAUGCAUCCAACUGACCUUAAUUCAUUUCCCGAAUCGUUGGUUCGAAAAUCUUUCAUUACUUUGGUUAGGUUUUUUAAGAUUUAUCCAAAGCGACUAUC